AGUGGUUCAGCGGCAGAGCACAUGCCUUGCAUGUAUGAGGUCCUGGGUUCGAGUCCUGGUACUG
rnacentral:tRNA from 1 species